ensembl:lncRNA
UCUUCAGCUAAACCAAUCCCAACUGAGUCGGGACGGGCCUCUGUAGAUUUUUGGACAUACAGCGAACAAAUGUGGACAUGAAAGGGGGAAGAGGAGGGCUGUUCUGGAGGCCCGGUCCCCUUGGCCUCGCUCUGGAUCAAGUCCCCAUAAGGCCCCCUGACCCCGUUAGAGGCGCAUGAUGGGCGGCCCUGUCACUUCAAAUGGCUGCCCAGGUCCGGUCUGAGAGUAACCCCUCACUCCAGAGGUUGGCACGAACACCACAUGGUCAUAACAGUCUCCUUGAGAAGGGGACCAGCCUCUUAGGCUGGCAGCCUGGCAGCCUGGCACAAAGAC